UUGUACAAACAUUUCAAGCACAUUGUACAAGCAUGUUAAACACAAAUGUGUUGAAAGUCCUUUAACAUCUUUUCAACACACGCAGGCAAUAAACAAAACCCACCUUUCAAAUUUCAAAUCCUUUUCUCCCCCUCUCUCGAAUUCCUAAGAACCUAGAUCCAGAUUUUCUCUCUCUUUGUCUUUCUGUAUUCACCCUUAAAUCAAUGAAGAAGAACAUUGUUCCAUUUGCUGAUAUCGAUUCAAGCCUAAAUCACCACAAUUUCUGUUCUUACAUCUUUCUCCUCGAUCUAGGGUUCAGACCAUAGACCAUUAAAGGGGGCCGACUAAACUAGGGUUUCGACUACUGAUCUAUUUCUGCACGUAUGUUCUUCAGACAAUCAAGGUAAGGUUCUUUCAUUUUGAGUUCGUAUUUCCGGUGAUUUUGUGGUUUGGGGCACAUAUCUAGCAAAGGCAGAUUCAUGUUAUUUGGGUUUUAAGGUUGUUGAGGACUAAUGAGGCGAUUCCAUGUGAUGGUAUGGUAGAGAAGUAAUACAUCUGCUACAGGGUAUGGAAAGGCUACUCUGUUAAGAAAGGUCUUAAUUAUGCCCCAAAAAGAAGGAAGCCUGCCACCGAAAGAAGAGAAAAUCUGCAAAGAUAUUAUAAUGUCUUAUUUUAAUUAAUUAAGUGAUGGAUGCUCUUAUUAUUAAAGGAAAAACAAGAUGCUCGAAUGCUUAUGAUACUUGCAUCUUCUUAUUUCAUUUUGUCCGUAGGCUGUUUUGUUAAUUGUUUCCCCUGUUUACAUAAUCUCAAGGAUGACUGGAGACAUAUGGGAGUUUUAGUUUUUGUCUGUGUAUUGGGGAUCAACACUAGCACAGGAGAUAUAAGGCAGGCUUGGUUUGGGAGGAUGUCUUUUUGUUGGUAUCCCCAUUUGCACCCUACUCCCAAACCAAAACCUAUAGGAUUUAGAAACUGUGUCUGUCAAAUAAAAAUGUGGUUUUUGUGUACUGUUAUGGGUAUGGUUGCUUUGGGUUGGGUCACAAAUCACAGGUGGAAUACUCGAAAAAGGGAUUCCUUCAUGUCUUGGUGUGUUUGGAUGUACUGCAUAUUAGAGGUGAUGUUGCUGGAUAUCGGUUUAUUCUUUGUAGCAGUCUUAAGAAGUUCCAAGAGCUGGCCACAUCACUUGCAAAAGCUGUGCAAUCACAAGGACUAUUAUACCCCUCUUCAUUCGAGUAACAGUCUUAGGAAACUUAGCAGGCUGAUAAAGCUCCUUCUGGUUUUUAAUUGACCUGUUUCUUAUAAGAAAGAAUUUCUAAAUUCUGUCAUUUGACCCGUUUGGCAGUAUAAUAUACUCCACUUUUUCAUUUUCGCACAACUUGGAGGCCAAAGUCUCCUCUCAAAUUUACACAUGCACCCUUUAUAAAGAUAGGAUGAAAUUGUAGUUGAACUAAAAUAAGAUUUUAUGACUCGCUGAUAGACGGAAUAUAAGAAACUCCACUCAAAUUUUAAAUCUUAAAAUUCAAUCAUCAUAUAUGAUCGUUAAUCUAGAAGAUGUUUCCAAAAAAAGUUGAAUGAUUGGGACUUGAGCAUGCAAACUGUAAAACCUUAAGAAUUUAAUGAUUGCCAUACAUCUUGGAAUCUCGGAUUGCGAUUCAUCCUUUUAUAUGUCAAACGCCAGUUUGAUUGAAUUGAAACCUAGACAAUGCUAAUGUGAUCCUUGCUAAUUUCAUCAUAAGGCGGGUUGCUUGAAUAUAAUACUGAAACAAUAGGAAUGAAGACCGAGCUACUGGUAGUGAUUGCUGGAAAGCAACCAGAAGUAUGGCAAAGGUUGUUCAUUGAACCGUGCUACCGGUACUGAUUACUAGAAAGCAACUAGAAGUGCGGUCCGAGGAAGCAGGUGGAUGCGCAUUCGGUCAAGGCAGGUUUACAAUUUUCGGUUGGUAAAGUUGGCCAGUACCUUAAGAAAGGACAGUAUGCUUUGUGAGUUGUACUGGUGUACCUUGAUGCGGUUCUUGAGUACCUUGUCGCUCAAGCUGUUCAAUCAAGUGUUUUACCCAACAUGUUGAAGAGCACUUGUGAAGCUAUUGCCAAAGGAAAUCCCAUGUGGAAUAACUUAUCAGUCGAAGAAUCCAAGCUAUACUGCUUGCUAAACUUUGGUGACAGUCAUGGUUUUAAAAAAACGGCCGAGGCGGUCGUACUGAGGCGCGCCUCAGUUCGAAACGGAGAAAAACCGUAUAUGAGGCGGCGCCUCAGGGUCAGAAAUUAUAGCACGCCUCAGUGGAGUGAGGCGUAAGUUUCAGAUCUGAGGCGGAACGAUUUUGGAGAAAAUAUAGACCGUCCAUUGAAUAAGUGUUGAAGAGGUUAGAAAGAAUUAGUUGUAUUAAAACCAAAUUGGUCUAAGUGAGUGGUUAGGAAUCAUAUGACCUGGUUUUUUUACUAGAUUAGUUAUGAAAUAUAUGAUAAUUUGUUUGUGACCAGCACCACUAUUGGCUUUGGAAUACUUGUA